CACCUAUCUUUGGAUAGAAGCGAGUGGCGAACGGCUGAGCAACACGUGGAGAACCUGCCCCCUCCCCCGGGAUAGCCGCCCGAAAGGACGGGUAAUACCGGAUACCCCGGGGUGCCGCAUGGCACCCCGGCUAAAGCCCCGACGGGAGGGGAUGGCUCCGCGGCCCAUCAGGUAGACGGCGGGGUGACGGCCCACCGUGCCGACAACGGGUAGCCGGGUUGAGAGACCGACCGGCCAGAUUGGGACUGAGACACGGCCCAG
rnacentral:rRNA from 1 species